UGAUGCGCUCAUGGACGAUCUGUCCACGCUACGUGGGCCGUGCUCCACGAGGUUCAUUGGCAGCGGGCUGUGGCGUGCAGCGUACACGCGAGGCGAAACGCCACGCUGGAAA
rnacentral:SRP_RNA from 1 species